CAGAGCUUCCUGCGCGAACGGCUGUAAUACCAGGCCUCACCGGUCGCGACCGUGUUGCGCAGCGCCUCGUCGUUCAUGUGCGCGACCAUCAGCACGUCGCCGUUGCCGGCGUCGGUUGCCACGCAGGUCACGAGACCGGACGCGUCGAAUUUUGGCUGAAAGCUCAGCCCUUCCUCGACGUCAUGCGAGUGUGUGUGUGAUGAAGUCACGGCGUUACCUUUUCAAAGGAAGGCGCGGACGCCUUCGUUCGAAGGCUUAUACGCCACGGACCAUGUUGAGAAAACGGGCCUGUUCUUCAGGAUUGUC
rnacentral:misc_RNA from 1 species